rnacentral:rRNA from 1 species
AACGAACGCUGGCGGCAUGCCUAACACAUGCAAGUCGAACGAGACCUUCGGGUCUAGUGGCGCACGGGUGCGUAACGCGUGGGAAUCUGCCCUCUGGUUCGGAACAACAGUUGGAAACGACUGCUAAUACCGGAUAAUGACUUCGGUCCAAAGAUUUCUCGCCUGAGGAUGAGCCCGCGUAGGAUUAGCUUGUUGGUGAGGUAAAAGCUCACCAAGGCGACGAUCCUUAGCUGGUCUGAGAGGAUGAUCAGCCACACUGGGACUGAGACACGGCCCAGACUCCUACGGGAGGCAGCAGUGGGGAAUAUUGGACAAUGGGCGAAAGCCUGAUCCAGCAAUGCCGCGUGAGUGAUGAAGGCCUUAGGGUUGUAAAGCUCUUUUACCCGGGAUGAUAAUGACAGUACCGGGAGAAUAAGCCCCGGCUAACUCCGUGCCAGCCGCCGCAGUAACAC